GAAUGUGUCCAUACCAUCCUGAACAUGUCCUAUCUCAUCUGAUCUUAGGAGCUAAGUAGGGCUGGGCCUGAUCAGUAACUGCGAGAAUAAGUAGUUUAGCAAGAUUGCAGGAUACAUGAUCA
rnacentral:rRNA from 1 species